CAAAGAAGAACAAGCUUACCCCACCAUUUAACCCCAAACCAUUCACUGUUGAAGCUCGGAAAGGAACUAUGGUUACCGUCAAACGUGGUUCGAAGAAGAUAACACGCAACAUAUCCUUUUUCAAAAAGAUUGAUAAUCGUGUAACGGAUAGUUCAGAUGACGAAGAUGAUGAUGACGAUUUUGAUUGCGACCGAACCAACGAAGACCAACUCAAUCAAGAACCUGUUCAUUUACGAAGAUCCCAGCGAGAAAGAAGACAACCAAAUAGACUUGGAUUUUGAACAUUGAACUAUCAAUGACUAUAGACACAUAUUGCAUGUUAACAGUUGAAAUUUGUUUCAGUUUAAAUUCCUAUUGUCGUUUCGGGCAGAGGAAACAUUUUGAAUAACAUAUAAUGUGAAGAACAGAGAACCUAUACUAAUGUGGGGAGGGAUGUAAUAUAGCUAAUUAAUAUGCUAAUAACUAAUCCAAAUAGGAAUAACUAAUCAGUAUUCAAUAUAUAGUUCACAAACAC